UACGUGGGGUGCAAGCGUUAUCCGGAUUUACUGGGCGUAAAGGGUCCGUCGGCGACCCACCAAGUUCUUUGUUUAAGCCUGAGGCUCAACUUCAGAAAAGCAAAGAAUACUAGUGGGAUUGAGUGUGUUCGGGGAAGUUAGAAUUCUCGGUGGAGGGGUGAAAUCCGUAGAUAUCGAGAGGAAUGCCAAUCGCGAAGGCUGGCUUCUAGAACAUUACUGACGCUCAGGGACGAAAGCUAGGGUAGCAAAGCGG
rnacentral:misc_RNA from 1 species